GGCGCGAUAGCCAAGUGGUAAGGCAGUGGUUUGCAAAACCAUUAUUCGCCGGUUCGAUUCCGGCUCGCGCCUCCA
rnacentral:tRNA from 1 species